rnacentral:lncRNA from 1 species
GUCAGAAGUUUGUUAAUUAUUAAGUUUCUGACAGACAGAAUUCCCAAAAGCCUCUAACAGUUUCUCCCACGAAGUCUCAGAGGAUGUGGGCACAACUACAGGACACUGCCUGGACUGUGAGAUGAUAAUCACUGACAUACACAGUGGUCAACACUGGAUACCCUGAGUCAAAUGACUUGGCUUAAUAAAGUCCUGGUGCUUACUACAUCCAAGACAGCUCCAGAGAAGCAACCUCAGCUGCCCCAAUCUCCUCUCAGAUGCAGACGCUUCUUAUUGGACCAGUUCCUUCCGACCUAUCCUCAGAUGGCUCCACAGACCCUGGACAGCAAGGAAGCAGCCAACUCUCCUAAAAUUGGACAAACAUCUCCCAUACCCAUCCCUCUGGGUUCCCCAGAGACACGUCACCCCAGUGUCAGCAUGAAGCAGCCAGGUAUCACAACGACCCUAUUCCUGCUUCAUUAUCAUCUCUUUCUAAUUUUUUUCUUUUUUAACUAAACCAAAAUGGGGGAAUGUUGGUAUUCUGUCUAAAAUCCACCCCCACAGUUGCCUGGCAACAGCCAGGUAUGCUCCUCCCCAUAGUUACCUGGCAACAGUCAGGUAGGCAUGGCCCACUAUAAAGGGAGCUGCUUGCCCCCUCCUCCCUCUCUUACUCCUGCUUCUCUCCCUUGCCUCUUGCCCCUUUGCUCCCAUUUCCCUCCCCCCUCUCUCCAUGUGGUCAUGGCUGUCCUCUAUUUCUCCACUCUCUCCCUCUCUCUCUUUGCCUUUCUCUGCCUCUACCACCCUCAACUCCCCUCCACAUUCCCUGAAUAAAGUCUGU